CCCUUGAUCCCACAUACACUACUUCUUUAAUUCAGCAUGCAACGAGUGUGAAGUAUUCAAAUAUGCCACGCCAGGUUAUAGAAGAAGAUGGUGUAAAAGCUAUAAAGUUCAAACUUAAUAACGAGGAACAAGCAUGGAAAAAACAACACGAAUCCUAUAAAGAGUAACAUUAGCUGUCUAUACUAUAUUUUUCUAUUAAUUCUAUCCAUGCAACUUUAUGAUAUUUUUCUAUAAAGGAAGAAAAUUGGUGAAUAUUUUUAUCUGGUUAAAAUAUAACGUAUAAUUAAAAUAUCGUGAAUUCAUGGUUUUAUUGAAUUCUGUAUAAAA